rnacentral:rRNA from 1 species
UACAGAGGGUGCGAGCGUUAAUCGGAAUUACUGGGCGUAAAGCGCACGUAGUCGGCUUUGCAAGUCGGGUGUGAAAAUCCCCCGGGCUCAACCUGGGAACUGCAUCCGAGACUGCAUUGCUAGAGUAUGGGAGAGGGAAGCGGAAUUUCUGGUGUAGCAGUGAAAAUGCGUAGAUAUCAGAAAGGAACAUCAGUGGCGAAGGCGGCUUCCUGGACCAAUACUGACGAUCAGGUGCGAAAGCGUGGGGGAGCAAACAGG